GAAGCCCAUGGCAGGAGGGAACUGGUCCAUUCUUCUCACUGUCUCCUAUCAUCUAGUCCUAUGCCUGGCACAGGCAUUUGCUUUGCGUCUAUCAGAAGAAGGAAUGAAUUCACAAAAAUGGCAAGGAAUACAGAUAUGUGAAAAUCCUUUCAAUGUUAGAAAUCAUCAAACAUGGAUCACAGGAACUGAGGAAUGGGAGCUGUUGGAAGAGUAGCCAUUAACAUUAAAUCAGCCUAUGAGGAGGCCCAGAUGACAAGGAGCUAAAGUCUCUAGCCAACAGACAGUGAGAAGGUAAAGUCUGCCAAUAACCAUGGAAGUGAACUUGUGACUAGAUCCUUCGACCUGGUCGUCUCGAGAUGACUACAGUACCAGCUGGCAUCUUGACUGCAACCUCUAGAGAAACCCUGAGCCAGAAACAAACAGAGGAAGCAACAGCAACUCAGAGAGGUUACAGGAUUUAACCAAGCCCACAAGCCUGAAGCUGGAAUAUGAAACAAGGCAACUUGACACCAGAGUCCUGGAUCUUAUUUUUAAUAAGGGAAGUCACCUGAAUGAAGCUUAAGAUUUAAAAGUAAAAAAAACCAUGCAGAAGAGGAGCCAACAUAUCUGUUAAAAGGCAAGAACAGGACCAACGAUAUGGCCAAAGACAAGCACUUGUGAUUAAUGCAGUUGCAUAGGUAACGAUUCCUUAUGCAAAUAAACAGAAAACUGCAAGGUUCGGGUUCAAAGUAAAGAUUGCAAGAAAAUAAUGUUAGAAGAGAACACGGCCGCCGACAUAUGUAAAAGUUGAAUACUUCUUCAGAAUGGGAAAUAGGUUAAGUUUGUCGUGGUCAUUCUUGCCUUAAACAUCAAUAAAUACAG